CUCCGCUGGGCUGUGGCCCCUGUCCUGUUAGCACUGCACGCGUGCAUCGUCUGCGUGCUCGUGAUAAACACUGUGAACACUGAGCUGGCCUCUUGUCUCCCCUGGGCUGCAGUCGGUUUCUGCAAGGAUGUCUGCUUGGGGGGGCGGCAGUGAGGAGCAAUGAAUGUGAUUUCCAGGAAUCCAAGGAAAGGCACAAGACCCCUGCCUUCUUGGGCCUCCACACUGAAGUUCUCUUCUUGAUCCAUCU
rnacentral:lncRNA from 1 species